UCUGCUGGCCUGGGUGGAGCCUGCAGUACCUCCCCUGCUGCCCUUUCAAGGCCAUACAGCGCUCCCUGCGGACCCAGCUGACGCCUCCCUGCGGGUCGCUGGUCCACCACCCCGCUGUACAUACCGCUUUCCUAAACUAAGCCUUGACGCCAGCAACUCUCUGAGCCAUGCCCACAUCUUGAACCACUGACUUUGUUCCCUAGGGAUGGCCUCUUGGUUCAUCCGUACCUCUGACUGUCCCCCUCUACUGAGUCGCAGAGCGGCCAGAGUAGGAGUGGAUUUGCAGUGUCAGAGCAGGACAGACAGAGUAUUUAGGAACGUUGGACAGGAUAGACUACUGCAGAAGUCACUAACCCGUGCCGGAGUGCGAGGUCAGUUGGCUACAGGUCGGUUGAGAGUUUCUGUUCGGAUCGUCGGUGCAGGGGCAAUUCAGGAUGUAAACAUUGCCUGAAUCCACGAAGCUGGAAUCUUUUUAUCUCGACACGAGCCUCCAGCGAGUAACUGCCAUCCAUGGUCAUCUCUACCCCCUGCACCUUGCCCAGAGCCUGCUAUAUGAAUCUUUAGGAUCAGGUUGUGGAGUUCAAAAGGAAAAUGCUUUUAAAAGAAUCUACAACCAUAUGGAGUUGCACAGGAGGAACACAGAAAGAUGUCAAAACA